AAUGAACGCUGGCGGCAUGCCUAACACAUGCAAGUCGAACGGCAACACAGUAAGUGUUUGCUCUUACGGGUGGCGAGUGGCGGACGGGUGACGUAUGUAUCGGAAUCUUCUUUUUCGUGGAGGAUAACGUAGGGAAACUUACGCUAAUACCGCAUAUGACGCACGGGUGUGAGCAGUGGAUCUUCGCACCUUGCGCGAUUGAAUGAGCCGAUGUCGGAGUAGCUAGUUGGCGGGGUAAAGGCCUAGCAAGGCGACGAUCCGUAGCUGGUCUGAGAGGGUGAUCGGCCACACUGGAACUGAGACACGGUCCAGACUCCUACGGGAGGCAGCAGUGGGGAAUAUUGGGCAAUGGGCGCAAGCCUGAUCCAGCAAUACCGCGUGAGUGAUGAAGGCCUUCGGGUUGUAAAGCCCUGUUGUUGGGAAAGAAAAGCAGCAGGUUAAUACCCGGCUGUUCUGACGGUACCCAAAGAAUAAGCACCGGCUAACUACGUG
rnacentral:rRNA from 1 species